UUGAAAAGUAUAAAAGCCGACUGUAAACAUUAGCUCAUUGCCCUGACUGCUCCGCUGAGCCCUGAUUGGAAACCUGCCUCCCUCUAAAGCCCUGACCACUCUGCUGAGCCACCCCUCUGAUCGCUGGAUACCCAGUCCUCUGAUCCCUGCUCGCUCAGAUUCAAAGAAACUACAAGACUGCACCUGGAGUCCUCAGCUCUCAGUAUUUAUCCAUCAAGGUCGGGGGCCCUGACAUUCAGAGAAACACAAGGAGUCCGCAAGAUGUUCUUCCCAAGUUUGCAAGGCUUAGUGUAGUGGAGCACGCUGCUUUAUUUCAGAGUUCUUGAAGGCUAUACAGUGGAUUACUACAAUGCAGUCAUUGAGGUAUUUUGUAAUUACCCGCUCCAGACCCCUGGCUUGUUCUUCACCAGUGAGAGUGAUCCACUUAGUGACCACAGAGCUAGAGAGAUUGCAGAAAAGGUGGCAGCAGCAGGGGAUUACAGUCGUGUACAAAGCCUGGAAAGACUCGCGCCAUGCAGGGCACCUUCGACAACACCCACAGGAGUACCUGGCGACGCUGCAUCAGUUCCUGCAGUCCCUCAACAUGUCUCCUAAAGGCAAAGCCUCUAUCAGUCUCCAGGAUCCCACUCCAGAAGCAGAUAACCUAGAAGCAAUACCUUUCCAAAGAGAAUAAUGAAUCUGGAGCAAGAAAUACAUUUCAAGCUUACGGAGCUCCCUCGCCAACAAAAUCCCUUUAUAUACCAUUGUGUAGAACUCCGACAGAAUAACUUGACCAGCCACAAGCUUUUCUUCACCUCCAGGGCUAUCAGAGCCAACAUUAACCAAGCAAUGCCAAAUAAAUAUUACAAAGCCACUAGUGCUGAUUACUACUGGGAGUGGUGAACAAAAGACUUUUCUCAAGUUAAAUGAAUUUGAAAUUAUUAUCAUUGCUGAAAAGAGUCCAAACAUCUAAUGCAUGUAUUUCUUACUUCACUUUGUUUUAAACCUGUUGACCCAGACAGGUACUAGGUACAUUAUAUACAGAAAAAAAACCCUAAAUAUAUAUUGUGAUGGAGUGUACAUUCCACAGCAAUCUUGGUCAGCUGUGAGGCCGUGGCUGUAAGGAGUACACACUCCAUCCAGGUAAAGGUUGAGCUAAAGCUUUCAAAGGAAAGUAAAAUAAUAAAAUGUGAAGACAACAUAAACUAACUGGCCAGCAAACAAACAGGGAAAUAAAGUGUUGGGUUUUAAGGCCAUGGGGAACAGACUGUUGUCUAGAGUAUUUAGCAAUUGGUCCUAAUGGACUAAUUGCUUGAUUGCCCGGCACUUAAAACGGGUUAAGCUGAGAGAGAGAGAGAGAGAUCCGUUUGGAUUUGUUCAACUAUUUUACACAACACGACGUCUAACCUGGUAAACGACAGCGAAUUCUUUACAAUAUAUAUAUAUAUAUAUAUAUAUAUAUUUUUUUUUUUCUUUUAACCUGAAGAACUUCCAAUUGAAACAGAAAUAGCUUUGACAGCAACAUACCAUUUGAAUUUAUUGUAUAUGGAAUUACAUUUAUAAAGCUGUUCUAAAUAUAGAGCACAUGUAAUAGGC